rnacentral:rRNA from 1 species
GAUGAACGCUGGCGGCGUGCCUAAUACAUGCAAGUCGAGCGAACGGACGAGAAGCUUGCUUCUCUGAUGUUAGCGGCGGACGGGUGAGUAACACGUGGAUAACCUACCUAUAAGACUGGGAUAACUUCGGGAAACCGGAGCUAAUACCGGAUAAUAUUUUGAACCGCAUGGUUCAAAAGUGAAAGACGGUCUUGCUGUCACUUAUAGAUGGAUCCGCGCUGCAUUAGCUAGUUGGUAAGGUAACGGCUUACCAAGGCAACGAUGCAUAGCCGAACUGAGAGGGUGAUCGGCCACACUGUAACUGAGACACGGUCCAGACUCCUACGGGAGGCAGCAGUAGGGAAUCUUCCGCAAUGGGCGAAAGCCUGACGGAGCAACGCCGCGUGAGUGAUGAAGGUCUUCGGAUCGUAAAACUCUGUUAUUAGGGAAGAACAUAUGUGUAAGUAACUGUGCACAUCUUGACGGUACCUAAUCAGAAAGCCACGGCUAACUACGUG